UGCACGAAUGAACACCAUCCUCCCCACCAUUAGCUCACACACAACGAGAACGAAACCCGAAACCGGGCGAUCCCUCCCGGCAAUAAGGGGAAGGAUCUAAUGCAAUCGCUCCAUCGUCGAAGCAGUGCAACGAGCGCACUGCUUCCCCAGGUUCAGGAGAGCGAACGUUUAAUCCUAGCGCAACGAGAUCACAACCGUUCGCACGGAGCGUUCAGUUUUGAUAAAGACAUCGAACCGUGCGGUGCUCAGCUCGUUCGAAAAGGAUCGGAACAUAGCGCUGUGUGUUCCACUGUUCGUCGUCUUGCGGUUUCACGCUGCGAGUAAGUGAGUGAGAGUGUAUACGCGUGUGUGUGUGCGCGCGUGUGUGUGUGUAUCUGAGAGGGUAUCAGUGUGGUUUUACGUCGGUGAUUUGUGGUUUCUAUAGAGCUUUGCCCUCCGCCGUUACGCACGACUCUAAACAACGCCGGACGGUGUAAGUUUUAUUCGCGCUCGCGCUCGUUUUUUUCACGAUCGAAAGGCUGUGCAGCGGUGUGCGAGGAACGCGUAUCCUGGCCAAAUAGAAAGGCAAGGAGAGGAGGGAAUCGGAUUCUGCUGCUUGUGCCGCAAGCAUUCCAGAAUAGUUUCCGAAUACUUCCGCGCAACAUCAAAGCGCAGAACUUCGGUUGCGGAUCGAAUCGUCCUCGGAGCCGUACAAAAACGGAAUGGAAAAAGUUAAUUACGUAGUGUAAUUAAUUUCACACCGGGAAGGCCAGCACUGGUAGUGAGCGCACAUUAAAAAAAGAAUCUUCAUCACAUUUCAUCAGCGGAAGGUCAACGCGUUCGGCAUUAAUGUAAAACACAUUUCGCCAUCUCAUCCUUCAGCACCACCGUGCAACAACGCGCUCGCGCAAAAAAAAAAGCUCAUAGAAUUGAGCCAUCCCGUGCUAUUUAAAGCGCAAACUUCCGUCUCGCCAGGAAGUGUCAGGAUACGACCGGGCAUCGGGCUCCAGUUCUAAUUUGAAACACGAAGGUCCAUCAAAACGAGCGAUUCGCAAAGAUCCCCGUACCCAAUUCGCGCCGGUUCCAUUUUUAUAUUGUUUCACCUUUUACCAAAUCAAAAGCCCGCCAGCAGUUACGCCGACCCGAACGACCGUAAAAGGGAUAAUGAGCCUUGAGGUAGAAUGAUGAUUCAGGCUCAACAUUAAUCAUACCUUUCUGGUCUACGGUUUGCUGGACGUACCAGUGCCACUGAGGGGAAAGGAAGCAGCGGACUCGAAUGACUCCAUACGCACGUCUACCGGGAAAUGCAAAGCAGGACUCGCUCCGUUGAGCUGGCCGUUUGAUUGAGCAGGAGAAACUUUUACACGAAGCAAGCAACGGAGAACCUGGCAUAGCUUGCUUCUCCUCUGUACGUGGACAAACACACACAGUCGAAGUACGGAGCGGGCCGAAAUUAAAGCAAAACAUACACCUUCCUGUACAUAGAGGCGGAUCGCAAACCUCUAUCCCAGCUACUAAUUACCGACUCUGGCGAUAUUUUGCUCCGGAGCCGGUAGUGAUUCCCACCGCAAAAGGAACGCUCUGCUGACGCUGACAUUGGCCGACAGGGCGGAAGGGGCAGAACCUGCUCGCCUGGGUCGGUUUCUCACACGACGUUUCGACGGUUGUCGCCCGCAGUGUCCAAGCAAGCAGUCAACAUUCCGCUAUUUCAAUUAAAUGUUAUGCCGGCCGCGACCAUGUUUUCCAAGUUCAAAAGUGCCACCACCAGUGCGCCGCCCCAAAACCCCUACGAUAACAAUCCAAUCACGCAGUACUUUGAAAUUGGAAAACAGGUCGCCUGCGCCGGCCCGGAACUGAUCUGGAAGAUACACGAGGGCUACCGGAAAACGGAUGGCAAGGAGUGCUCGAUCUUUGUGUUCGAAAAGCGGACGGCCGAAAAGCUGCACAAACCAAAGCGAAAGGAGACGGUUACGGAAAUUUUGCGAGCAUCGGUAAAGCAGCUGGAACGAUUUCGGCACCCCAAGAUACUGCAGAUCAUGCACACGGUCGAGGAAAGCUCGGAAACGCUCUCAUUCGCUACCGAGCCCGUCAUCGCCAGCUUGGCCAACAUCCUGGCCUAUCAGGAAGCUGGCGGAACAAUUACGGGGCCACCGAGCACGGGAGCUUCCGGUCAGCACUGCCCGAACAGUGUCGCCACGAACCGGCCAGCCCACGCGAAAGAAUACACGUUCCUGGACAUCGAGCUGAAGUACGGAAUCCUACAGAUCACCGAAGCACUGUCGUUUCUGCACUACUCCGGCCAGGUGAUACACAAAAACGUCUGCCCAUCAUCGAUACUGAUCACGAAAAAGGGCACCUGGAAGCUGGCCGGGUUCGAGUUCACCGAGCGCACCAACGAAACCGACGCUACCGAUCCGGUACCGUGCCAACCCUGGUCGACCAGAGCCUCCAAGCUGGUACAGCCGAACCUGGACUACAUGGCGCCCGAAAUCCAGAUUAACAGCAGCUGCAGCAUACUGAGCGAUAUGUUCUCGCUCGGAAUGGUUAUUUGUGCCAUUUUCAACCACGGCCGUUCGCUGAUACAGUCGGGCAACUCCACCUCGACCUACCUGAAGCAGAUGGAACUGCUAGAUGAGGCCGUGCACAACAUCCUACCCAGGAUACCGAUCCCGCUGCAGGAGGCAACCACAAGGCUAUUGAAGAAAUCGCCCGGAGCUCGCCCAACGGCUCAGCUGCUAACGCUCAUCAAGUACUUCAGCGAUCCAGCCGUACAGGCGCUACAAUUCCUCGAUGUCAUCAACAUGAAGGAUCCGACGCAGAAAACGCACUACUACCGCAGCACCCUCAGAGAAGUUCUACCGUUCAUACCGCGGAAACUCUGGUGGCAACAUAUCUGGCCUAAUCUGCAGCAGGAAAUGCGUGCUGAUGAAGUGCUGGCCGCCGUCUUGCAGCCCGCCCUCACCCUGGUCCAAGAAUCUUCAAACUCGGAAUAUGAAGCAAUCAUUUUACCUACCUUUAAGACUGUUUUUGUAGCUCCAAAAUCUAUACAAGCAACCGUAGCAUUAUUAGAGAACUUACACAUUAUUCUAGAGAAAACACCACGGGAUGAUAUACGGACGGAAGUUUUACCCCUCCUGUUCAACGCGCUGGAAAGCACAACGAUACAGGUGCAGAGUGCCGCCCUGGUAGCGGUUACGAACGUGUACGACUACCUGGACGACAUCACGAUCAAGAAGCUGGUGCUGCCGAAGCUGAAGUCGGUGUUCGAAAAGAACCAAAGCGAUCUGAAAAUCAUGGGCAACGUGCUGCAGUGCGUCGAACGUACGCUGGAUAAGCUGGAUAAGUCUCAGAUAAUCGAUGAGGUGCUGCCGCUGCUGCUCGAGGUGCGACUCACCGAUCCGGAUAUUGUGGUGCGCGUCGUCAACAUCUAUCGGAUCAUGCUGUGCGACAAAAAGUAUGGCUUAACGGUUAACAUCAUGGCGACCAAGGUGAUGCCUACGCUGCUACCGCAGACAGUGAAUCCGUCGUUAAAUCUGGAACAGUUUAUGAUACUUCUCGAGGUGCUUCAGGAAAUGCUGGACCAAAUAGAUAGACAACAACGUAACAAAUUGAAGCUGGACAAUCUAUCGCUACCGUCGCCGGAUCGGCACCGGCCGCUGCGGCACCAGUUCUCCUCGGACAACAUGAACGCGCAGCAGUUUAACAUACCGAACCUACGCAUCGACCAGCGCAAAACGUCGAGCGCCGAGGAUAUGGCACGGAAGAACUCGACAGGAUCGGGUGCUCUAGGUAGCUGGUGGUUCGGCGGCUCGCCGUCCUCGCCGGACAGUAACUUCCUCCGGGUGGUGAACGCAUUCCCGAACCGCCGCCUGUCCGACAACACGCUCAUGACGCCGAAAAUACGCAUCGCACCGUCUUGUGCUUCGUCUCCGGGUGGAACCCCGGGCGGAGGGCUACCGAUACGACGACACUCGAGCAUUGGUCCGCAGGAACGACGAGGCUCCAACAUCAAUCUGUCACCACCGACUCAGGCUUUCAGCGCUCGAGGGGGCUCCGGUUCUAGCCUUUCUGUGCCUUCCUCAUCCGCUUACGUCGUAAGUUCAAUGGAGAAAACACGAGUGGGAGGCUCGAUGCCGAACACUUCGAGCAGUGUUCCGUUCCUACUGUCGUCGAGCAUGCAAUCGAUCAGGAGCCGUCGUACCUCGACCGUGCUCUCGUCCGGACCGCUCGGUUCCGGUUCCGGUCUGCUUCAACAGCUCGGUUCCGGCAUGUCAACCGUACAGUCAACCGUCGUCAAGCAGUCGUCUAAAAUAUCCAACCUAAAACCACUGGAACUACUAUCGUACGCACCGGCAUCGCGCAAUACCAGCGCGACGAGCAGCUUCCAGCGCAGCUUCCAAAAGAGCCAGAAAAAGGCGAUCAAGAAUCUGCGCAAAAGCUUUAAGCUCUGAAAUGCUGCCAGCUACUCCUGGGACGAUGCCGUGCGGAAGGCACUGGGGAAGUAGUAACGCAAAAGGGCGCGCCAAGCAAAAGGCAAAGCAGUUAUAUGGCGGCACAAUUCACUCCCAGUCCCGCCACGGUUUUAACACUUAUCCCGACAAGCUCUUACAUCUUACACAUUUCGAUGGCUCUCCAGCGUAUUCUCUCAUAUAUGUCAUCUUGCUCCAAACGAUCAAAGUCGUUGCAUGUCGUUGCUACUUCUACUACCACACUACACUACGUACACUGCAUCUAAACUCGUUGAUGCAUCUCGCAUACUUGAAUCGGUGUGCCGCUACUACUAGUCGAUGUAUCUAUUUGUGUUGUUAUGUAGUGUGAUAUGUGUGAUGGGCUGCUUGACGACUGCAUCCGGGACCAUCUCCGAGAUAACGAAUGAAUGAAUGCUGUUAGUGCCAGUAGCAACUCGGCAUAACGUGCCUGCAUCUUAUCGCACCACUAUCUAUUCUCUAGUACUAGUACCCUAAAGCCUGGAUAGCCGCUAUCGCUUUUAUUCUAUCGCCCUACCAGCUGUACUGUAGUUUCACCUUUCACCUUUAAAAACCUACCUGAAAAGAAUGUCUUUUCUAAAAAUAAAUGUCACCAUGCUAGACACUUAAACCAAAGCAAGAGAAGAAACAACAGUUCCAACCGUCAUGAUAUGAUAACAAUCAUUACCAAGACACCAAUGUACACAAGCCACAGCACCAAGUAGGACACCACUGUAACAACACCAGACAUCGGGGCACAGAACUGGUGUAAGAGAGCGCAAAGGAGAGAAGAAGGAAAAAAAUACUAAUAUAUGAGUCGCCACGAAAGUUAGAAUAGCCGUGGCAUUAGGAGCAUAAUUUUUGUACGUCACACGGUUUCCAGAUGCAUUCUGCAAUCAUCCACUGUAUUAUUGUUAGCGUAAGAGGGUAGGAGUGUAAACCUUUCCCGACUAAAUGGCACCGAUACUGUUUAACAACACCAACAUGUACAUGUAUGGCGGCGAUGGAUGCGCGACGAGAAUCAAAACCAAUCAAAUCAAACCCAGGACGCAAAGGAUGCAGAACACAUGUGAAACCAGCAACAACAACAGAAAGCAGUCAAUUCAUUGUACUCCCCGUAUUGAUAUAUGGUGUAUUACCGUAAUAUAUAUAAGGAACGAAAGAAGGAAGCUGUUUCCACAGCUACAUGUUGAUGUAACUGCAGGUAGCAUAGUAAAGUAAGCGGUGCUAUCCUGGGCCAACGAGCACCACACUAACCCAAAUCAACAGUCUAGCUCAACCGCCACGGUAUCCUGACAUUCCGGUGUAGGCCCGCUAAAUUAGUAGCACCCAUGCCCCGUGCCGUAGCCGGCAAGCAAGUAAGAUCGUAUCAGUAGAAACAGUAGACUAUCCAUCCAAGUAGAACCUUUAGCAGUUCGAAACGCAAACGGUUUCCGCGAAAAAUUGUUCACCUACACACACACACCGUUAUUAUAUUCAACAACCACUGUAGACAAUAUCUCUUCCUUACUAUCGAUUGCUAGUGCUACACUAGCAAACCAUACUGUAGAUCUCGUACUAGUAUCGACUGAGUGAUUUUAUUUUAGUAUCGAUCUGUAUUAUCUCCUAAUUUUAUCGUUUACUCUAAGUGUGUGCUUCCUUCGUUCUUAAAAAAAGUAUAGUUUCCGUUGCAUAUACCGGCGACAUUUCUUGCUUGUACUAAAACCUUCCACAUUUUUAUCAACAUGUUCACACCACACACCGUACACACCACCGUUCAGUAUUUUAAACUCACCAUACUUUUCACCCACCGUUAUCGUACUGCAUGCGUACUCGUCAUGCUCACCACCAUUCUUCCCAUCCAUCAUUCCCACGUACUGCUUGAUUGCCCGUUUGUUCACCACUACCAUCUGUAUAUUUUCAGAUACUGAACACCAAAAACUUCAAAUCCGUUCUGGAAAAAGUUACUAAAAAUCGUCCACGAUCAUCUUCCCUAUUUAGUAUGGAUAAUGAUCGUUAGAACUAAAGCUCGCAUAGCACCUUAAAAUUAAAAAAAAAAAAACAGACUCACAUAUUCUCAGGCUGUUUUGAAUGACUGUUUAAGCUACUAAUAACUACUAACCCCUCAACAAUGCACACACAUGCACACCUGCUUCAAGUGAAGCAAUCCUUACAAAGCGAGAGAACCGUUUAUCAAGUCACAAGUAUGCACACACAAACACGUCCAAGUUGAUUUUGUCAAAGGUCUCCUAGGAACUAACAAAAAUAAGUACAAUACAUUUGUGUAAAAAAAUCCUCGAUUAGAACUAAAGGAUGCUAGCGCCAUCUGAUGGAAAACUAGAAAGCACCUUCCUUCACUAUUAACCAUACACAGAGUCCUGCAUCACUAGAAAAAAAAACAAUAGCUAUAUCUUGUAUGUAUGUGUGUGUGUGUAUGUGUUCGGUACAAGUAUGCCCACGCGCCCCUUUGAGUCCUAGUGCAUUUAGUGACCGUUUCCAGCCACUACCACCAACACCAAAUCACGUACCACCACCCACCGUCGAAUCCAACGGUACAAAAUAAACCAAACCAAAUCCAGACAGACAGCACGCACCGCCGCCCAACAUCCACAACAACCCCACCACAGCAAAUCAUAUGUCCAACGCAACAAAAUCCGCUAAACCCAUUUCCCCAACCAUAUGAGACACACGAGGCGCUUCGAGUGGUCAGGUUGACCUGUGCUAGCACACAUGCAAACCGGCAGCACAGAAUUGUCCCAUGAGCGACAGCUGUACGCAUUAAUGACCAAAGAUAGAUUCACGAUCAGCAGUAAUAGUAGUACACAGCAGGCACCAUCCAAACCGCACGCACCUCUGUCGGCAUCCGCUUCGGCUCUCAACACCUCGUCCACCAGCUCGAUCAGCGGCAGCACCGUCACCGUCAGCACCAUAAAGCUUACCAGCGGGGGAAUCGCAACCAUUACCAAUGCAAACGUUGCGUCCGGGAUGAUGCCCCACUUUACUGCCUCCGCCAUGGUACCGUCGAGUAGUCUGCAGGGCUCCACAACGUCACUAACCACCAACGUAAACCAAUUCGUAAGGUGUCCCUCCCCAGGCAGCACGAUCGGGUCAUCCGUAUGCGCGGGCACAAACCGACCGGCGACCAGCGCUACGCUGAGUGCAUCCAACGGUGGUCACCCGACGGGUGCGUCAUUUGCGGCGUCCCUUUCCAACCGUAUCACUGCACAGGUCCCCCCACCGACGACACUGCCGAUCGGUGGAAAGCCCGCCCGGUCACCCACCUUUGCAAGCACCGCUCAUCGUUAAUUGCUUCCAUGUGAGGCAUAAACGGCAAAACAAAAACAGCUGUACAGUUUUUUUUUUUUCGAGCUUAACAUGACGGAAAGCUUAUGGCAUGUGCUUUUUUCUCCCUUUUAAAGUACACAAAACUAUUGUUGGUAGGCUCUCAAAGCACGCAACAUCAACCCAAACUUUCUAAUUACGCGCUUUAACUUUGUCAAAGCACAACCUCUGCGUUGCGUUAUUUCUUGAAAAACCACAGUCCUUUUUUUACAUUCUAUUCACUUCUCGUGCAAGACCUAAAAUUCUUACACUUUUCUAUUUCUGCUAGUAAUAUUUUUCCUCUAGACUCUUGCUACAUGUUUAGAACGAUGCGAUAAAUUUUUCCCUUUCAAUGCGCCCAAAAACAACAACAAAAAACUCCAUAGAUUGUGCUACUGAUAGGAUGUUCAAGCUUUUGAGUUCUUUGAAUUGUUACCAUUCCCCAAAUUGACUGACCGUACAAUUCACGUUAUGAACACACAAAGAAGCUAUAGACACAAAACAGGCAACAGAGUUCUCGUGAAACCAAUUAACGAAAGCGAACAAAGAGCUUUACUCUUUUACUUCUACAAAACGACCGUAAUCAACAUAAUUGUUAAGCGCGCAAUCGCUGGGUUUUUGGAAAUGUGCAGGUUUUGAAAAAUGUCCAUAACCGUUGAUCCUGAAAACCAAUUCCUCCGUACCGAAAGCGGUACGGUUCCUACAAAACCUUGUUAAUAGAGUUGUCGCACACAGAACAUACACACGCCGGUAUCACGCUGGACGUGAUUAUUCGAUGUAACCGAAUGAAUGUUGUUAAAGUUGUAAAAAAAAACCAGCAUUUGAAUGUGGGAACACUCGGCAACACUCGCUUUGUAACGAAAUGGAAACUCACUUGGUCGCUCUCACUCUCAACGACAUCCUCGUAUGAUGGUUUAUGGUAGCUCAAGUGCCCAUCUACGACCUCCAAUCUCCCCCUCGAACAAAAGCGCACCUUAACCAGCCAGCAGAAGGCUACAUUAAACACUUUUAAACACGAAGUCCCUUCCUAAGUCGUUCUCCAGCAGUUCCCGCUCUCGUUAGAAAAACGUAAUUCCGCAUGUAAUCAAACGCUUCAAAGCGCAACAUCAAGCAGCGGGUCACCCCUGCAGGGAGGGUAAGAAUAGCCCUCACUUUAACUCUUUAACUUACCCCUCCUUCCCAUGCCUGCGUAUUGUGCGUAGUGCAAAACGGCGGUAGCAUGAGUAAAUGAGAAUGGAAGGCGAACUUUCCACCACGUGACACGAAAAGUGAAAGCAACCGUGUGAUCAUCGCCAGUUACCAUAGUGCCCUAGUAGUUUCCUGUGCUAAGCGGGAAUUUAAUAUUCCGCACUAACGGAUGCGAACUUCCCGCCCUGGGUGCUGCUCUCCCUCGGAGCAAUCAACGUCGUAAUAGAGUGGGGAACGUUGUUGCAUUGAAGUCACUCUUCCGUUUCAAACACGGGCGCGCUUGGAAUGCUAGCUUUAACGCAUGGCAAAAGGGAUGAGGAAAUGAAACUUCCUGCGAAUGCUGAACAGUUUUGCGUGUCUCUUAUGCUCAUUAGUAUGAUUUUCAGUGACUGACAGCCACAGUAUUAACUUUGUAAAACGACUGGAAUUUGAAUCUGCGACUCUAGGUGAUUUGAAAUCGCUGUAUAAUGUAGCGAGUUGUUAGUUAAAGCGUGUGCUUUUCAAUUCCUGGAACUCAUUGAUUACCCAUCAUUGUUAAUCCAAACAAAGAAACGAAUUUGCAUGACUAAUCAUUGAGCUACAUAAUCCAUUAUACGGAUGAUCGGUCCUAUCGGGGGAGUAAGAGUGUGAAGAAUUUAAAAAUAAAAACUAGCAAAAUAAACAUAUGCAAAACAUACUUAAACGUACACAUGAUGUGUAACCAUUGUUGCCCAAAACACCCGCACAAAUGAUGUCAAUUUCAAAACCUAAUGGAAACCACGUUUUUACACGUUAUUACAAGAGUUCUGAUAUAGUAAACAUAUGGAAGGAAAACAUUACAGUAAGAAAACAAACCCCCUUUUCAUGGCGCUUACAGUCAUACCAUUUGCACGUUGGUAAGGAGUGUGUAUUGAAGGAUAUAAACAAAAAUCCUGCUUAAAUGUUCCGGGGGCCCAAUCGACGAUUACUAACACAAAUCCGAUGUCCGCAAUCAAGCAAAAAAUAGACAAAAGAAAAAGAACUGAACAAUUUGAGGCCGAUCUGAAGAGGUGUGACAGAAAUGCAUAAGAGGAAACAAAAACCAUUUCUUGCUAAGCGAUAGUAUGUGUUUGAUCUUUUUUCGGAGAACACGAAGAAACGGUAUGCCAAGAGCGAAGAUUAUAUUUUCAUUACAAUAAUUAAAGUUUUCAUCGCCUUUUUGCGUAUUUUGUGCAUGUGUAAAAGCUUAUUCACUCGGUUAAUCAAAUGCUUUUUACAUAAUUAAGUUUUAUUUUUGUUCUUCUUGAACUAAGACACUUUUUUUCUUUCCUUAACUAUCGUUUCAUGGUUAGCUGCCCAUUGCAAGCACGUUAACCAUACAAUACGAACGAACGUGUCGUUGUACAUAGAAUCAUGUAACAUUAAACAUUAACUAUAACAAUCAGCAUAUAACUACACCACUAACAAUAUACAUCAUAUGCGACGAAAGGGAGGUAGGACGCGGGAAAGAGAAAGGUAGAUGGCAACAGGAGGUAUAUAAAAAAUUAAACCACUCAGUACGAGGAUAGCGUAGCUCAUUCUAAUUUAUUCCGACAAAAAAAAAACGACAAACAUCAGAUGGAACAGUUGGAUCAACUGGCACAGCUGGUAGACAGAGGGUAUGCACAUCCGAUGAACGCCAUCACCGCUGGCCAAGGCUGAUUCGCCGACACAUUUGAAGGAAUUAUUAACUAUAGAUUAGUAUUGAAUCUAGCAUUUAAAGCAUAAUUGUACGUUUUCCACUAAGCUCCUAUAGCUCUCUAGCUGUAUAGCAAGCAGAAAGUUGCACCGAUGCAUCCCGAUUUCCCGACUCUUCCUUCUAGAUAAGCGUAUAUAUUAGCAAAGCACAUUGUAAAUUGAAUUGAUCGGAAAGCCGUCAUGAAUGUUUGGCUGUACUGUACGACCUCUGUGCGUGUGUUGAGUAUGUAUAUGCUUGCGUAUGUAUGUAUGCGUGUUUGGAAAUGUAUGUGUGCGUGUAUGAAAUGCAGUUCCUUAAUCACUAUCUGACCAAAACCGGCCCCUGCUCAGCAACAAACAGUCCAUACCUCGGUUGUACGCGUACAACAACCAAAUGCCACCAAUCUUACCUUCUGUUUCCUUAAUAAUUCACCCUUGACAAUCAUCGUCGUGCGAACCCCAUAUCUUGUGGCAUGUUCUGUAUACCAUUCUAUAGUGCUAUUCAAUCUUUUUCUUUCCAUCAAUAAUAAGCGCCCAUUAGCUUAAACUAUUGCUCAACGAAUUAAACAAAAAAAACCUUAUAAUAAAAACUAUUCCACCACCACCUGCUGGGAAAAAAACAAACUAACAAAUACGGCUGGCGAGCGAUCGCCACGAACGAUACCAAAACAUAUGCAUAUGAUAUGAGUAAACUACAAACUACUCCGAGUGUUGUUCCCCUAGAUGUGAUGUCGGAUGGACGGAAAUUUUGCUAAAUCCUGUACAUUUUAGAAAUAAUAACUGCUAGGCUGCAGGGCCUGAGCCGCACUUUUUGAUACAUGUAGCCAUGAACCUUCCUAAUCGUUCGUUUUACUAAUCGUAAGAAUCGAACGAGUCGGUAUUACAGCAUCAAUGCUUUAAUUAUACCAACAAAAUGAAAGACUCUUACCGUAGGGAGAAGAAUGGGAAAAAACCACCGCAGGCGGAAUUAAAACUGAAAUUAUACGCAUAUUCAUCGCAAUGUUUCCAGCACAGAACGCGUAGUUGACGGUGAACAACUUAGGCACAAAUAAUUUAAACGAACUUAUGUGGAUUUGUAUACAUGUUGAAUACACACUAAAACACGUCACAUUUAAUAGGUACAUUGGCACAGUGUUGAAGUGAAUGUCGAUCCGUUAUACUUGGCCAACCAUUCCCAAACAGUUUGUACGAGUAUCUACUGAAUGUUGUUAUAAACGUGUGUGUGUGUCUGUGUUACGAUCCGAGAUAAAAGCUAACAGAUUGCUAGUAUGUAAUCCUAAAUAUCUGGUUCCCGGACCGAUCCACCAUUAGCAUCGCCCCACUAAUCCACUCUCAUUGGGUAUGGAACCAGCCGUUAUCAUAAGAGCACUAUAACACAUCGAUCUUCGGGCUGGGAAACUGUUUUUCCAUCAUAUCUCCCAACUACUCUCUAGCACCAGCCAAAGCCAGCCUUGUUUUUUGGUUUAGAUCAUGUUAGUAUUAGCUAGAACCGGUUGAAUAAUCUGUUUUUCAAAGUCUGGCACUCGCACAGUUUUGCAAACUCUAGAAUGAAUGGAUAAGUAAGCACUCACCUGUGAACUACUACUAGUUACUAAAGAAUAAUAAUGUACACACUAACGACCCAACUAACCGAUGUAUCUGAGCUGUAAGACAAUCCUUAAAUAUGAAACCUACUUGACUCGUUGGCCCUUUAACUAAUAAAUGCCUACAUUUUUCGAAAUACCUAAGAGACAGAGAGAGAGAGAGAGAGAAGAAGUGGGAAGGCAACCUUAUCGUGGUCACCUACAAAGAAGGAACUGACCCAGAGACCACUCGUUUGUCAUCGUACCCGAUGCCGAUCAUCCAUCCAUCCUAGCUUUCGUUUCGGAUGUUGCUGUGAUAAUCUGUAUCUAUAUCGUGGUAGUAAUGACGAUUUCCGUUAUCUCCAGAUGUUGACCGUAAAGCCACGCCAAUCAACAGGGCGCUUCUUUGCUAAUGUUUCAAUAGUUUAAAUUCAGUUGUUACGACAUAUCACCGUUUAUUGAUGCUGAUUGAUGGCAGAGGAAGAAACAGGAAGCAAAGCUUUGAAGAUAAAGGAGUGCGUGGCUAUAUAAAUAAGACACGAGAAGUAGGAGCAGAAUCUAAUUGCAAAAGGGCAAAUAUAUGUCUAGGUAUGUGAAACAACAGAUCGAUGUUACUUUAUCGCGAAGUGUAUCGUAAAUUGAUGGAUGAAUAUUUACACAGAGGGAAAAUAAUGGAACGAACUAACAGUGAACUAGAUCAUAUACUUAGAAGAAAGAACCGUAACACCGUAGCGUUUAAAGUGCACAGAUCACACAGCAUUUAUGGGAAAGAGAUAUUUUUGUAGCAUCGCUUAUUGAGGAAUACAAACAAAAUUAAUCAUUAUUUUGUGCCGCAUGCCUGUACCAUGCUUUCAAUUGUAAACCGUCAGUCGGUGGAACGGAACGUUAACAGAUGCGCAAACAUAUUCACCUUCUCGUGCCACAGACACACACCAGCUGUUCGCGUAAGCUUUAUCCCGAAACAGACGCCAACCCACUACCUUCACACUACCUUCCAUUGGCGUUUGUUGCAGUGAGACCUACUAUGUACCAUCUGACAAUCCUAAACCACAUACAAGAAUCUACAAUAGAAGCGGUUCAGCAACAGAAACUACCCCUAUACUACGUACAGUACGCAGCAAGAGAUUGAUUCUUCAUUGCAACGUUCUUUAAUGAUUAACCAAAGAUUUUGCAACGUGUGUAAAGCACAUUGGAGAGAUGCAACAGAUUGACUAUGAAGUAUAACAUAAACAGAGAAAAAAAACAUAUUCUUGAUAGCAUACAUGAUAAGAAAUAGCAACAACAACAACAAAACAGAAGUGUUUAAACAUAUGUUUUACAAUACCUGUUAGCGGGGAGAAAUAGUAAAAACCACAUUCAUAUACAUACAACCAAACCCCAAUGACCGUCAAUGUGAAGCCGAGGGAAGGUUGAACUGGUAGACAAAAAAAGAUCGAGGCCAUUUUUGUAACAGCAUUAAACUCGGUUCGAUUUGGUUCGCUGAAUGUGAAUGUCGCUAUAUCAGCCAAUUUUCAGCCAUUUUUGUAAAACAUAACAAAAAACACUCUAUUUUUAUACAUCUUUUACACACAUUUAAGCAACAUUCGAACGCACAAGCAUUUUUCACAGUUUCGACAUGGACAGUUUUUACUCAUAGAUACAUAAAUAGGUCCUACGUAAUUCAAUUCAUAUCGAAAGUGUUUCGCAAGCACAAUAUUAACACAUUGUCCUGUAUUGUUCCUGAGCGCACAGUUUAAGUGCCGUGUGCAUCGAUUGGCUGAGGUCUUACAAUUUUGAUUUAACCUUUUCCUUAUAAGCGCCGGAUUUGGACGAGCGGCAUGAAUGUAGUAGAUAAACAUUCUUCUCAAAACUAAAACCGCCAGUGGCAAUGAAUUCGGCAAAUGCAAACGCAAUGCUCUACAAAUGCAUAUUAACAAACUAUCUUGAUGUAAAUGAACUGAUUAUCACAUCGGAGAACAAGCAUGUUAACUAAAACCAAAACCAACCCAAAAUAUCGAAGAUUUGUACUUACCCUGAUCCAAAUGAUAAAAUUAAUAAACAACCAAAGCGUGA